rnacentral:rRNA from 1 species
GAUUUUCGCAAUGCCCGAAAGGGUGACGAAGCGACGCCGCGUGUGGGAAGAAGGCCUUCGGGUUGUAAACCGCUGUCGGGAGUUAGGAAAUGUAAGGAUGUUAAUAGCAUCUUUGCUUGACUAAGGCUCCGGAGGAAGCCACGGCUAACUCUGUGCCAGCAGCCGCGGUAAUACAGAGGCGGCAAGCGUUGUUCGGAAUUAUUGGGCGUAAAGAGCACGUAGGCGGCUAUGUAAGUCGGUUGUGAAAGCCUUCCGCUCAACGGGAGAACAGCAUCCGAUACUGCAUGGCUUGAGUGCGGGAGGGGAGAGUGGAACUUCUGGUGGAGCGGUGAAAUGCGUAGAUAUCAGAAGGAACGCCGGCGGCGAAAGCGGCUCUCUGGCCCAUAACUGACGCUGAGUGUGCGAAAGCUAGGGGAGCAAACGGGAUUGGAUACCCCGGUAGUCCUAGCCGUAAACGAUGGGCACUAAGUAGAGGGGUUUUAAUC